GCAUUGGUGGUUCACUGGUAAAAUUUUUACCUCCCACGUGGGAGACCUGGGUUUGAUUCUCAGCCAAUGUA
rnacentral:tRNA from 1 species